rnacentral:misc_RNA from 1 species
UGAAAAAGAAAGUUCAGUCACAGGUGAUUACUGCUAUGGUGAUGUUUACAAGCUUUUGACUGGGCUUCAUAUUGUUUUUGGGCAUGGUCAAUAUUUUUUUUUAUAACUUUCAGGUAACCUUAAAUGUGUAGAUGCUAAUUUCAACUAUGGAGACCAUAUUAGUAUGACUAUAUGUCGAAAAUAUAAGCAAAGAAAUGUUCCUAGUGGACAGCUGUUCUAUUGUUAUUUCACAAAGAACUUAAAUGACUUGCAUAGAUUUUUUUGGGUAUAUGAGCAGGAAAUCGAGAAUGAAAAGCUA